rnacentral:rRNA from 1 species
AACGAACGCUGGCGGCGUGCCUAACACAUGCAAGUCGUGCGAGAAGUUCCUUCGGGAGCGAGUAAAGCGGCGCACGGGUGAGUAACACGUAGGUAACCUGCCCCCCAGUCUGGAACAACUAGAGGAAACUCUAGCUAAUGCCGGAUGAGACCACGAUCCCUUCGGGGGUUGCGGCCAAAGAUGGCCUCUACUUGUAAGCUAUCGCUGAGGGAUGGGCCUGCGGGCCAUUAGCUUGUUGGUGAGGUAACGGCUCACCAAGGCUGUGAUGGCUAGCUGGUCUGAGAGGAUGACCAGCCACACUGGGACUGAGACACGGCCCAGACUCCUACGGGAGGCAGCAGUGGGGAAUAUUGCGCAAUGGGCGAAAGCCUGACGCAGCGACGCCGCGUGGGUGAUGAAGGCCUUCGGGUCGUAAAGCCCUGUCGCAGGGGAAGAAUAAGCAUCGGUAUAAUACGCCGGUGCCCUGACGGUACCCUGCAAGAAAGCACCGGCUAACUCCGUG